rnacentral:rRNA from 1 species
UGGAACUGAGACACGGUCCAGACUCCUACGGGAGGCAGCAGUAGGGAAUCUUCCGCAAUGGGCGAAAGCCUGACGGAGCAACGCCGCGUGAGUGAUGAAGGGUUUCGGCUCGUAAAACUCUGUUAUUAGGGAAGAACAAACGUGUAAGUAACUGUGCACGUCUUGACGGUACCUAAUCAGAAAGCCACGGCUAACUACGUGCCAGCAGCCGCGGUAAUACGUAGGUGGCAAGCGUUAUCCGGAAUUAUUGGGCGUAAAGCGCGCGUAGGCGGUUUCUUAAGUCUGAUGUGAAAGCCCACGGCUCAACCGUGGAGGGUCAUUGGAAACUGGGAGACUUGAGUGCAGAAGAGGAAAGUGGAAUUCCAUGUGUAGCGGUGAAAUGCGCAGAGAUAUGGAGGAACACCAGUGGCGAAGGCGACUUUCUGGUCUGUAACUGACGCUGAUGUGCGAAAGCGUGGGGAUCAACAGGAUUAGAUACCCUGGUAGUUCCACGCCGUAAACGAUGAGUGCUAAAUGUUAGGGGGUUUCCCCCCUUAGUGCUGCAGCUAACGCAUUAAACCCUCCGCCCGGGGAGUACAACCGCAGGUUGAAACUCCAAGGAAUUGACGGGAACCCGCACAAGCGGUGGAGCAUGUGGUUUAAUUCAAACCACGCCCAAAAACUUACCAAACCUGGCAGCCUUUGACCCCUCUGAAAAAGAAUUUUUCCCUUCGGGGGAAAAGAGACAGGGGGUCCCGCUUCUU